GAUGAACGCUGGCGGCGUGCCUAAUACAUGCAAGUCGAGCGAACAGACGAGGAGCUUGCUCCUCUGAUGUUAGCGGCGGACGGGUGAGUAACACGUGGAUAACCUACCUAUAAGACUGGGAUAACUUCGGGAAACCGGAGCUAAUACCGGAUAACAUGUUGAACCGCAUGGUUCAACAGUGAAAGACGGUCUUGCUGUCACUUAUAGAUGGAUCCGCGCCGCAUUAGCUAGUUGGUAAGGUAACUGCUUACCAAGGCAACGAUGCGUAGCCGACCUGAGAGGGUGAUCGGCCACACUGGAACUGAGACACGGUCCAGACUCCUACGGGAGGCAGCAGUAGGGAAUCUGCCGCAAUGGGCGAAAGCCUGACGGAGCAACGCCGCGUGAGUGAAGAAGGUCUUCGGAUCGUAAAACUCUGUUAUUAGGGAAGAACAAAUGUGUAAGUAACUAUGCACGUCUUGACGGUACCUAAUCAGAAAGCCACGGCUAACUACGUG
rnacentral:rRNA from 1 species